rnacentral:tRNA from 1 species
GCAAUAGUAGCUUAAAACAGAGCAUUGGUCUUGUAAGCCAAAGGUGGAUAUUAAUAUGUCCCUAUUGCUC